rnacentral:misc_RNA from 1 species
AAGGUAGCCGUAUCGGAAGGUGCGGCUGGAUCACCUCCUUUUGAGUAUGGUGAAUAUAAUUGUCUUAUCAGGCGUCCUCACAAGUUACUUGCAUUCAGGGUUUGAUGUUGGCAUAGGUUUGGGUUUAUGUUGGCGAUUUUUGUUCUGGGGGCCUUAGCUCAGCUGGUAGAGCACCUGCUUUGCAAGCAGGGGGUCGUCGGUUCGAUCCCGACAGGCUCCACCAUGAAAGUAUUUAUGGGUCUGUAGCUCAGGUGGUUAGAGCGCACCCCUGAUAAGGGUGAGGUCGGUGGUUCGAGUCCUCCCAGACCCACCAAUGUUAUAUCAAUUAUUCUGAAUGUGGUUUGCGCAUUUUUUAUGCUUAUCAGCCUUGGAGCUGUGAAGCGUUCUUUUAUAAUUUGAUGAUGUAGCAAGCGUUUGAACUUUUUAUUAAUAAUUUCUCAUUGGAAGCCUUAAGUGACAAUGUUUAUCCAUUGUCUUGUAGAUUUUGAGGCGACUUUGGGUUAUAUGGUCAAGCGAAUAAGCGCACACGGUGGAU